CCUACGGGUGGCAGCAGUGAGGAAUAUUGGUCAAUGGCCGAGAGGCUGAACCAGCCAAGUCGCGUGAGGGAAGAAGGCCCUACGGGUUGUAAACCUCUUUUGUCGGGGAGCAAAGCGAGUCACGUGUGACUCAUUGAGAGUACCCGAAGAAAAAGCAUCGGCUAACUUCGUGCCAGCAGCCGCGGUAAUACGGAGGAUGCGAGCGUUAUCCGGAUUUAUUGGGUUUAAAGGGUGCGCAGGCGGAGGUGCAAGUCAGCGGUCAAAUUGCGGGGCUCAACCCCGUACUGCCGUUGAAACUGCAGCCCUUGAGUGCGCGAGAAGUAUGCGGAAUGCGUGGUGUAGCGGUGAAAUGCAUAGAUAUCACGCAGAACUCCGAUUGCGAAGGCAGCAUACCGGCGCGCAACUGACGCUCAUGCACGAAAGCGUGGGUAUCGAACAGGAUUAGAUACCCCUGUAGUC
rnacentral:rRNA from 1 species